CCUUUGAUCUUGAGUUUGACGUUUGUGACCGAAAGGAUUUUCUAUUUACAUAUCACUUUGCAAACACUUAAAAAAAUUAUCCAGUAUAUUUUGUAAAGAUUUAAAUAUCCCAUCAGGGAUGUUUAAUGAAGCACCUUUGAAACAGGGAAGAUCUAUUCAAGAGCUAGAAAAACGGCAGCUCUGACAGAAAGAUUUGUACAGCCAUGGUAGAGAGGGCAUCAAUUUGAGAAUACAGAGACAGCCAGACAACACACACAAAUGCUGAAGCUGGGAGCAGACGCAGAAUGCUUGGCAGACAGAGGGACAGAAUCGAACGGAGAGAAUCCACUGAGCUUUCGGAAAGGGAAUAAGUGGGUUGGCAGCUAUUGCUGCUAAAUUUCUGGACUGCCUUCUUUCAUGCCUGUUGACGUGUCAUGCGUAAUUUGAGCACAGCCUUAGGCAGAGAUUCUUCUUUCUCCCUAUUAGCUUCUUUAUAAAUUCGAGCAAGCGGGCUGGUAGAGCAGUGAAAGGCAAGUACCAUCCUUUGAGAUUUGCCAGCCGAAGGACAAGACAUUUAAGUGUUCCCAAAUCCACUUAACCUCCAACAUCUACCUGUCUGAACCAACAUAUCCAGUGGCCUUUAUUUGACCGUUGUCAGAAAGGAAAGCGAGUGGUGAGAGAGGGGGAAGACAUGUGGCAAAGGUCAACGGGCCGGGAUUUGAACAAGUGACAGCAGGACUGAGGCCUGGGUCGCGACCUUCACCCCAUGACAUGACUUUUUGUCAUGACAUUGCGCCUAUGACAAAAGGUCUUCCAUGGCCUGAACCGCAGUCAUGAGCUUGGAUGAUGAAGGUGUACUCCUUUUGCAACUCGCAGUCCACCAGGCCGCGUGCCCUCAGCUG